rnacentral:lncRNA from 1 species
GCCCGCGUCCGUCUGUCCGUCGUAAAUAUGGUACAGCAUAUUAUCAUUAAACUGAACAUGGUUGUUUUUUUUCAGUCAUGAUGGUCAAACGAUCUGUAUCAUUUUUGGUGAACUUUAUGAGUUACAGGACUUUGUAACUAGAACAGUUUUUUUUUACAGUUCGCGCUGUAUCUAGAAAACGUUUUAUGACUAUUGCUCAAAACUUUACACACUUCUUAGUUAUAUAAUUCUGAAGAAUUUGUAUAUACUUUUGAGAAUGAUUCAGAAUUUGAUUUUAGAGUUAUUGAGUUUAUGACAAAAAGGGGGUGGGGGUUCACAUGUCGCGCCGUAUCUCAGAAACUAUCUAUAAUUAUUGCAUAAAACUUCACAUACUUUUUAGUUAAAUUAUUCUUAAGAUCUGUAUACUUUGGUGAUGAUUCUUUAAUUCAUUUUUGAGUUCUUGAAUUUUUAUUGAGCUUCAAUUUGGGGAUCAUAUAAAACAUGUUGUGAUAUAUAAACUUCCUAUUGAGCAAGAAUAAUGAAUGAGUCAGGAUAUACCUAGCAUGACUUCCCGUACAACCCCCGUGUUAUUUUAAAAACAUAUAUUAUGUUGGGUUUUUUUUCAUAAGACGAAGGGCGUAUCAUGCGCUCGAAGCGCAGCUGUUUAUUUUUUUCUUUAUUUUUUUUAUAGAUAUAUUAGAGAAAUGACGGAAUGACAGAAAAUACAAUGCAAUUUUCAAUAUAAUUAAUAUUUCCAAAUGGCAUAACUCUUUUAAAGAAUAGUUGAUAUGCACUGAUUUUCGAACGUGUCCAUACGAUAUCAGUUUUAUAGAAAGUUGGCAAGAAUUGUACACUUGAAAAAUCUAAUUAACCAGAAGUCCGGAAGGACAGACAGGGGAAUGGACAUGCGGUAUUUUAUGUACGCGCUGUGGUGAAAAAAAAUAUAUAGUUAUUUACCAAUAAAAUUACGCUAUGAGAGAAUGAUUUUAAUCGCAACUAAUCGUAAUAUAUCCAGUCCUCUCGCUAUUAAUUCAAUCGUUUUUUAGCCAAAUCAAAAAUUUCAAAAUUAUAGUUUCUCUGUCUGGACAAAAGCAUCCAUUAGCAAAUUGAAGAUUCUCCUUUGUAAGAUUUUGCUUCUGUUUUCUGACCACAUAAAACAGAAGAUGUGGUAUAAUUGCCAAUUAGACAACUCUCAACAAGAGACAAACAUGACACAGAAAUUAACAACUAUAGGUCACCGUACGGUCUUCAACAAUGAGCAAAGCCCAUACCGCAUAGUCAGCUAUAAAAGGUCCCGAAAUGACAAGGUAAAACAACUCAAACGAGAAAAGUAACGGCAUAAUUUAUGUGCUGCAAUUUAUGUACAAAAAAAAGAAGUUCCGUUUGCAGGAGAAUGCUGAGUUCACACGUAAUUCGAAUUAGUUUAAUUUGCAUUCGAAAUUAGUUUAAUUCGCAUUCGAAAUGUUUUACGUCCUAGCGUAAAUUCUAAUUCAAAUUGCAAUGCGCGUCAAAUUUGAUUACUGUCCAAUCGACGCUAACUUUUUUAAAAUUCGUAUCAACAAAAACGGAUUUUCUCAGUGAUAAAAACGUAAAUUAAAGGAUAUUAAGGAGUAUGUGUAAUGAAACAGCAGCCAACCAAACAAAACAAAACAAAGAACAACAUCUAGAGGUCAUCAUACAGUAUGAAAUAAUAUACGAGUGUGUACAGUAAAUGUACCUGUAUGUC